rnacentral:rRNA from 1 species
GUGCCAGCCGCCGCGGUAAUACCGGCAGCACGAGUGAUGGCCGAUUUUAUUGGGCCUAAAGCGUCCGUAGCUGGCCGUUCAAGUCUGUCGGGAAAUCCAGUGGCUCAACCACUGGGCUGCCGGCGGAAACUGAACGGCUUGGGACCGGAAGACCCGAGGGGUACGUUCGGGGUAGGAGUGAAAUCCUGUAAUCCUGAACGGACCACCGAUGGCGAAAGCACUUCGGGAGCACGGAUCCGACAGUGAGGGACGAAAGCUUGGGUCUCGAACCGGAUUAGAAACCCCGGUAGUCC